GUCAGCAGCCAUAUCACCCUGCAACUCGCGACUGAAGCUAAGCAGGUGUGAGCCUGGUCAGUACAUGGAUAAGAGACAUCCUGGGAAAAACUAAGGUUGCUGCUGGAA
rnacentral:rRNA from 1 species